rnacentral:rRNA from 1 species
UACGAAGGGGGCUAGCGUUGCUCGGAAUCACUGGGCGUAAAGGGUGCGUAGGCGGGUCUUUAAGUCAGGGGUGAAAUCCGGGAGCUCAACUCCAGAACUGCCUUUGAUACUGAAGAUCUUGAGUUCGGGAGAGGUGAGUGGAACUGCGAGUGUAGAGGUGAAAUUCGUAGAUAUUCGCAAGAACACCAGUGGCGAAGGCGGCUCACUGGCCCGAUACUGACGCUGAGGCACGAAAGCGUGGGGAGCAAACAGG